CCUACGGGUGGCAGCAGUAGGGAAUUUUGCGCAAUGGGCGAAAGCCUGACGCAGCAACGCCGCGUGAUCGAGACGCCCUUCGGGGUGUAAAGAUCUGUCAGUGGGGACGAAACUUGACGGUACCCACAGAGGAAGCACCGGCUAACUCCGUGCCAGCAGCCGCGGUAAUACGGGGGGUGCAAGCGUUGUCCGGAUUCAUUGGGCGUAAAGAGUUCGUAGGCGGCGCAUAAAGUCUGGUGUGAAAGGCAGGGGCUCAACUUAUGUACGGCAAUGGAUACUGGCGAGCUUGAGUGCGGUAGAGGUAGGGGGAAUUCCUGGUGUAGCGGUGAAAUGCGUAGAGAUCGGGAGGAACAUCAGUGGCGAAGGCGCUUUACUGGGCCGUAAUUGACGCUGAGGAACGAAAGCCAGGGUAGCAAAUGGGAUUAGAUACCCGAGUAGUC
rnacentral:rRNA from 1 species